rnacentral:rRNA from 1 species
UACGUAGGGGGCGAGCGUUGUCCGGAUUUAUUGGGCGUAAAGAGCGUGUAGGCGGCCAGGUAGGUCUGCUGUGAAAACUCGAGGCUCAACCUCGAGACGUCGGCGGAAACCAUCUGGCUAGAGUCCGGAAGAGGAGAGUGGAAUUCCUGGUGUAGCGGUGAAAUGCGCAGAUAUCAGGAAGAACACCGAUGGCGAAGGCAGGUCUCUGGGCCGCAACUGACGCUGAGGAGCGAAAGCAUGGGGAGCGAACAGG